UACGGGGGGGGCAAGCGUUGUUCGGAAUUACUGGGCGUAAAGGGCUCGUAGGCGGCCAACUAAGUCAUACGUGAAAUCCCCCGGCUUAACCGGGGAACUGCGUCUGAUACUGGAUGGCUUGAGUUCGGGAGAGGGAUGCGGAAUUCCAGGUGUAGCGGUGAAAUGCGUAGAUAUCUGGAGGAACACCGGUGGCGAGGGCGGCAUCCUGGACCGAUACUGACGCUGAGGAGCGAAAGCCAGGGGAGCAAACGGG
rnacentral:rRNA from 1 species